rnacentral:misc_RNA from 1 species
UUACUAGGUCAGUUAUAUGAGGUUAAUGCUGUUGCAGUUAUUUUAGCAAAAUAUGUUUUUAAGUCUCGGGUUUUUGGGUUGUCAUAUUGACUUCGUAACUUUGAAAUCGUCUCGUGUGACAAAUUCCUUUUAUUUACGAAAUUCUUGUAGAAUCUUAUUAUUAAGGUUGACAAAUUCACACAAGAGGUAUUAUUGACAUGAUAAACUGGUAUUGUUAAUAAUGUAUACAGUAUAUCAAUAAUUUAUUCUUUGAUAAUAGUUUUUUUGUCGUUCAUGUUAUGUUAAAAUAUAUCUUAUUUACGGACUGUACAC